rnacentral:rRNA from 1 species
GACGAACGCUUGCGGCGUGCUUAACACAUGCAAGUCGAACGGAAAGGCCCUGCUUUUGUGGGGUGCUCGAGUGGCGAACGGGUGAGUAACACGUGAGUAACCUGCCCUUGACUUUGGGAUAACUUCGGGAAACUGGGGCUAAUACCGGAUAGGAGCUCCUGCUGCAUGGUGGGGGUUGGAAAGUUUCGGCGGUUGGGGAUGGACUCGCGGCUUAUCAGCUUGUUGGUGGGGUAGUGGCUUACCAAGGCUUUGACGGGUAGCCGGCCUGAGAGGGUGACCGGCCACAUUGGGACUGAGAUACGGCCCAGACUCCUACGGGAGGCAGCAGUGGGGAAUAUUGCACAAUGGGCGGAAGCCUGAUGCAGCAACGCCGCGUGCGGGAUGACGGCCUUCGGGUUGUAAACCGCUUUCGCCUGUGACGAAGCGUGAGUGACGGUAAUGGGUAAAGAAGCACCGGCUAACUACGUGCCAGCAGCCGCGGUGAUACGUAGGGUGCGAGCGUUGUCCGGAUUUAUUGGGCGUAAAGGGCUCGUAGGUGGUUGAUCGCGUCGGAAGUGUAAUCUUGGGGCUUAACCCUGAGCGUGCUUUCGAUACGGGUUGACUUGAGGAAGGUAGGGGAGAAUGGAAUUCCUGGUGGAGCGGUGGAAUGCGCAGAUAUCAGGAGGAACACCAGUGGCGAAGGCGGUUCUCUGGGCCUUUCCUGACGCUGAGGAGCGAAAGCGUGGGGAGCGAACAGGCUUAGAUACCCUGGUAGUCCACGCUGUAAACGGUGGGUACUAGGUGUGGGGUCCACUCCACGGGUUCCGUGCCGUAGCUAACGCUUUAAGUACCCCGCCUGGGGAGUACGGCCGCAAGGCUAAAACUCAAAGGAAUUGACGGGGCCCCGCACGAGCGGCGGAGCAUGCGGAUUAAUUCGAUGCAACGCGUAGAACCUUACCUGGGUUUGACAUGGAUCGGGAGUGCUCAGAGAUGGGUGUGCCUCUUUUGGGGUCGGUUCACAGGUGGUGCAUGGCUGUCGUCAGCUCGUGUCGUGAGAUGUUGGGUUAAGUCCCGCAACGAGCGCAACCCUUGUUCACUGUUGCCAGCACGUUAUGGUGGGGACUCAGUGGAGACCGCCGGGGUCAACUCGGAGGAAGGUGGGGAUGACGUCAAGUCAUCAUGCCCCUUAUGUCCAGGGCUUCACGCAUGCUACAAUGGCUGGUACAGAGAGUGGCGAGCCUGUGAGGGUGAGCGAAUCUCGGAAAGCCGGUCUCAGUUCGGAUUGGGGUCUGCAACUCGACCUCAUGAAGUCGGAGUCGCUAGUAAUCGCAGAUCAGCAACGCUGCGGUGAAUACGUUCCCGGGGCU